rnacentral:rRNA from 1 species
CCUACGGGAGGCAGCAGUGGGGAAUAUUGCGCAAUGGGCGAAAGCCUGACGCAGCGACGCAGCGUGAGGGACGAAGGCCUUCGGGUUGUAAACCUCUUUCAGCGGGGACGAAGCGAAAGUGACGGUACCCGCAGAAGAAGCACCGGCUAACUACGUGCCAGCAGCCGCGGUAAUACGUAGGGUGCAAGCAUUGUCCGGAUUUAUUGGGCGUAAAGAGCUCGUAGGCGGCUUGUCACGUCGGAUGUGAAAACUCGGGGCUCAACCCCGAGCCUGCAUUCGAUACGGGCUAGCUAGAGUGUUGCAGGGGAGACUGGAAUUCCUGGUGUAGCGGUGAAAUGCGCAGAUAUCAGGAGGAACACCGGUGGCGAAGGCGGGUCUCUGGGCAACUACUGACGCUGAGGAGCGAAAGCGUGGGGAGCGAACAGGAUUAGAUACCCUGGUAGUCCACGCCGUAAACGUUGGGCGCUAGGUGUGGGGAACCUUCCACGUUCUCCGUGCCGUAGCUAACGCAUUAAGCGCCCCGCCUGGGGAGUCGGCCGCAAGGCUAAAACUCAAAUGAAUUGACGGCUGNGACGNGCCGACGCGACGACGAGGGAGUAGG